rnacentral:lncRNA from 13 species
GCCGGGACACGCCGCUUCCCGCCCCACUGUCACUGUCACCGUCACCGCCCGCCGCUUCCCGCCGCUUCCCGCCGCGCCGCCUCAGCCGCCGAGCGCGGCCUCCCGCCCCCCCACGGCCCCGCGCGUUCCGAUUGGUCGUCGUGCCUGUCACUCAUCCCGCCGCAAUGUUUACGGAAGUGCUGUCACGGCGCGGGAGCAGUGAUAAAUACAAGGUGUCCCCCAAGUGCCUUGACACUGCUGAACAGCCAGACUGCAGGACCUCACCAAUUAAACGGCUGCUUCUCCAUGGCAGACCUGUGUGUUAAUUCACAGACCUGCUUCAU